rnacentral:rRNA from 1 species
UACGUAGGGACCAAGCGUUGUUCGGAUUUACUGGGCGUAAAGGGCGCGUAGGCGGCGUGUUAAGUCACUUGUGAAAUCUCUAAGCUUAACUUAGAACGGUCAAGUGAUACUGAUGUGCUAGAGUGCAGAAGGGGCAACCGGAAUUCUUGGUGUAGCGGUGAAAUGCGUAGAUAUCAAGAGGAACACCUGAGGUGAAGACGGGUUGCUGGGCUGACACUGACGCUGAGGCGCGAAAGCUAGGGUAGCAAAC